rnacentral:rRNA from 1 species
GAUGAACGCUGGCGGCGUGCCUAAUACAUGCAAGUCGAGCGAACAGACGAGGAGCUUGCUCCUCUGACGUUAGCGGCGGACGGGUGAGUAACACGUGGAUAACCUACCUAUAAGACUGGGAUAACUUCGGGAAACCGGAGCUAAUACCGGAUAAUAUAUUGAACCGCAUGGUUCAAUAGUGAAAGACGGUUUUGCUGUCACUUAUAGAUGGAUCCGCGCCGCAUUAGCUAGUUGGUAAGGUAACGGCUUACCAAGGCAACGAUGCGUAGCCGACCUGAGAGGGUGAUCGGACACACUGGAACUGAGACACAGUCCAGACUCCUACGGGAGGCAGCAGUAGGGAAUCUUCCGCAAUGGGCGAAAGCCUGACGGAGCAACGCCGCGUGAGUGAUGAAGGUCUUCGGAUCGUAAAACUCUGUUAUUAGGGAAGAACAAAUGUGUAAGUAACUAUGCACGUCUUGACGGUACCUAAUCAGAAAGCCACGGCUAACUACGUG